UAAGGCAGCCAGGAAAUGCAGAGGGCACAGGGCACAGUCUGUGUUUCCUUGCUGCCUUAAG
rnacentral:precursor_RNA from 1 species